rnacentral:tRNA from 1 species
GAGGGUGUAGCUCAGUCAGGCAGAGCAACGGACUUUUAAUCCGUAGGCCGAGGGUUCGAUUCCCUCCGCCCUCA